rnacentral:misc_RNA from 1 species
GAUGAAGAACGUAGCGAAAUGCGAUACGUAAUGUGAAUUGCAAAUUCAGUGAAUCAUCGAGUCUUUGAGCGCACAUUGCGCCCCCUGGUAUUCCGGGGGGCAUGCCUGUCCGAGCGUCAUUGCUGCCCUCAAGCACGGCUUGUGUGUUGGGCCCCGUCCUCCGAUCCCGGGGGACGGGCCCGAAAGGCAGCGGCGGCACCGCGUCCGGUCCUCGAGCGUAUGGGGCUUUGUCACCCGCUCUGUAGGCCCGGCCGGCGCUUGCCGAUCAACCCAAAUUUUUAUCCAGGUUGAUCUCGGAUCAGGUAGGGAUACCCGCUGAACUUAAGCAUAUCAAUAAGCGGAGGA